CGAGAGUGUCACCACUCCCAACCCACUGUUUACCUACCCGUCCACCGUGCUUCGGCAGGCAGUCUUGUGGGACAGGGCCUCGCCCCCGCGAGGGGGUGCCUGCCGCUGGCCAACCAAAAAUUCUAGCUGUUUUUGUACCAUCUGAGUCUUCCACAAAUAAACA
rnacentral:misc_RNA from 1 species